rnacentral:rRNA from 1 species
UACGUAGGUCUCGAGCGUUAUCCGGAUUUACUGGGCGUAAAGAGUCUGUAGCAGGAUUUGUAAGUCUGUUUUCAAAUAUUCUGACUCAAUCAGAAAAAGGGGGCAGAUACUGCAGAUCUGGAGGUUUUUAGAGGGUAGUGGAAUUUCCAGUGGAGAGGUGAAAUUCGUUGAUAUUGGAAGGAACGCCGAAAGCGAAAGCAGCUACCUAUAACAACCUGACUGUGAGAGACGAAAGCUUGGGUAGCAAACGGG